GAUGAACGCUGGCGGCAUGCCUAAUACAUGCAAGUCGAACGAGAGGAAGGAAGGCUUGCUUUUCUGAAUCUAGUGGCGAACGGGUGAGUAACACGUAGGUAACCUGCCCAUGUGCCCGGGAUAACUUCUGGAAACGGAUGCUAAAACCGGAUAGGUAGCAGACAAGCAUUUGACUGCUAUUAAAGUGGCUAAGGCCAUGAACAUGGAUGGACCUGCGGUGGAUUAGCUAGUUGGUGAGGUAACGGCCCACCAAGGCGACGAUGCAUAGCCGGCCUGGGAGGGCGGACGGCCACAUUGGGACUGAGACACGGCCCAAACUCCUACGGGAGGCAGCAGUAGGGAAUUUUCGUCAAUGGGGGGAACCCUGAACGAGCAAUGCCGCGUGAGUGAGGAAGGUCUUCGGAUCGUAAAGCUCUGUUGUAAGAGAAAAACGACAUUCAUAGGGAAUGAUGAGUGAGUGAUGGUAUCUUACCAGAAAGUCACGGCUAACUACGUGCCAGCCGCCGCCGUAA
rnacentral:rRNA from 1 species